rnacentral:rRNA from 1 species
AGAGCGGACGGAACGCCGUGGCCGAAAGGAGCCUGCGCAGGUUGGUGCAUGGCUGUCGUCAGCUCGUGUCGUGAGAUUGUUUGGGUUAAGUCCCGCAACGAGCGCAACCCUGUCGUAUGUUGCCAGCAUUAAGUUGGGACUCAUACGAGACUGCCGGCGUCAAGCCGGAGGAAGUGGGGAUGACGUCAAGUCAUCAUGCCCCUUAUGUCUUGGGCUGCACACGUGCUACAAUGGCCGAUACAACGGGUUGCGAUACCGCGAGGUGGAGCGAAUCCCUUAAAGUCGGCCCCAGUUCGGAUCGGAGGCUGCAACUCGCCCACAUGAAGCUGGAAUCCGUAGUAAUCGCGUUUCAAAAUAGCACGGUGAAUAUGUCCCUGCUCCUU